AAUAGAUACCCGGGUAGUCCACGCCGUAAACGAUGGAUGCUAGCUGUUAUGCGUAUCGACCCGUGUAGUAGCGAAGCUAACGCGUUAAGCAUCCCGCCUGGGGAGUACGAACGCAAGUUUAAAACUCAAAGGAAUUGACGGGGACCCGCACAAGCGGUGGAGCGUGUUCUUUAAUUCGAGGCUAAGCGAAGAACCUUACCAGGGCUUGACAUCCUUGGAAUUUCUCCGAAAGGAGAGAGUACUUUAUUGGACCAAGUGACAGGUGCUGCAUGGCCGUCGUCAGCUCGUGUCGUGAGAUGUUUGGUUAAGUCCAUUAACGAGCGCAACCCUUAUGAAUAGUUGUAUUUUUCUAUUCAGACUGCCCCGGUAACGGGGAGGAAGGGGGGGUAUGAUGUCAGGUCAGUAUUGCCCUUACGCCCUGGGCUAGAAACGCGCUACAAUGGCCGGUACAAUGCGCUGCCAACCCGCGAGGGGAGCAAAUCGCAUCAAAGCCGGUCCCAGUUCGGAUAAGAGGCUGAAACUCGCCUCUUUGAAGCCGGAAUCGCUAGUAAUCGGU
rnacentral:rRNA from 1 species